AGAGUUUGAUCAUGGCUCAGAUUGAACGCUGGCGGCAUGCUUUACACAUGCAAGUCGAACGGUAACGCGGGGGCAACCCUGGCGACGAGUGGCGAACGGGUGAGUAAUACAUCGGAACGUGCCCAGUAGUGGGGGAUAGCUCGGCGAAAGCCGGAUUAAUACCGCAUACGACCUACGGGUGAAAGCGGGGGAUCGCAAGACCUCGCGCUAUUGGAGCGGCCGAUGGCAGAUUAGCUUGUUGGUGAGGUAAAAGCUCACCAAGGCGACGAUCUGUAGCUGGUCUGAGAGGACGACCAGCCACACUGGGACUGAGACACGGCCCAGACUCCUACGGGAGGCAGCAGUGGGGAAUUUUGGACAAUGGGCGCAAGCCUGAUCCAGCAAUGCCGCGUGUGUGAUGAAGGCCUUCGGGUUGUAAAGCACUUUUAGUGGGAACGAAACGGUCCGGGCUAAUACCCUGGACUACUGACGGUACCCGCAGAAUAAGCACCGGCUAACUACGUGCCAGCAGCCGCGGUAAUACGUAGGGUGCAAGCGUUAAUCGGAAUUACUGGGCGUAAAGCGUGCGCAGGCGGUUUUGUAAGACCGAUGUGAAAUCCCCGGGCUUAACCUGGGAACUGCAUUGGUGACUGCAAGGCUUGAGUGUGUCAGAGGGAGGUGGAAUUCCGCGUAGCAGUGAAAUGCGUAGAUAUGCGGAGGAACACCGAUGGCGAAGGCAGCCUCCUGGGAUAACACUGACGCUCAUGCACGAAAGCGUGGGGAGCAAACAGGAUUAGAUACCCUAGUAGUCC
rnacentral:rRNA from 1 species